rnacentral:rRNA from 1 species
GAUGAACGCUGGCGGCGUGCUUAACACAUGCAAGUCGAACGGAAAGGCCCAAGCUUGCUUGGGUACUCGAGUGGCGAACGGGUGAGUAACACGUGGGUGAUCUGCCCUGCACUUCGGGAUAAGCCUGGGAAACUGGGUCUAAUACCGGAUAGGACCACAUUUUGGAUGGUGUGGUGGAAAGUUUUUCGGUGUGGGAUGAGCUCGCGGCCUAUCAGCUUGUUGGUGGGGUAAUGGCCUACCAAGGCGUCGACGGGUAGCCGGCCUGAGAGGGUGUACGGCCACAUGGGGACUGAGAUACGGCCCAGACUCCUACGGGAGGCAGCAGAGGGGAAUAUUGCACAAUGGGCGCAAGCCUGAUGCAGCGACGCCGCGUGGGGGAUGACGGCGUUCGGGUUGUAAACUCCUUUCGCUAGGGACGAAGCGUUUUUGUGACGGUACCUGGAGAAGAAGCACCGGCUAACUACGUG